rnacentral:misc_RNA from 1 species
CCAAAAUUUGUGUUACAGAUAAAGGAAAUUUUGGCAAGCACUUAUGAGUGACCUCUGUGCUAAACACAUCUCAGUAGUGAAUAUGUAAUUACAUGGACCAGUAAGUUAGAUUUCUCCGUUAUAAUGGUAAUGCCUUAAUUUUCAAAAUGUUUAACUAACUGCUUGUGAGAAGGUUUUUAAAUAAGCAACUAACAUAUCAUAUUUUAUCUUUUUAUAUAUGAUUUUUUUAUGAACUGUAGUUUUGAAUGCUGUGAUAUGUUGAUAUAUAACUACAUCAGUAUGUGUCAUUCAAGUUGUGUUGCCACUGUUGUGGUAGAUUUGCGGUUUUUAACAGUUUUCCUUGGCUUCAUUGGUUGUGACAAUUUUUUCUUAUUUUUCCUCCGAAAAACAAAAUGCACUAUUCUAAAUAAUCAUUUUCCUGUUAAAUCUGGAAAGCUUAUCUGAAAUGAACAAAAUAAAUAAAUAGCUUUUCACUUCUGAAUUUACUGGUGAUUUUGAUGGAAGUUAAAUGCCUUUGAUGCUACUGGUACAUGAUUUACUCUAACAUAUCCUCUACUUAAAAACAUGCAAGUUUUAUUUACCUGUGUAUUAUACAGAAUAUACUAUUAAAGUACAUGUGUAUACAUGUAUUGUACAGAAUAUACUAUUCAAGUAUACAUGUAUUACUGAAGAUAGCAUUUUAAACAAGUUUUGUUGUUUGAAUAUUUAACGAAAGAUAAAAUUGCAAUAAAAUAUCUACUGGUAUAUCCAUCUUCCUUAUUUUCUGAAAAUGAUUGUUCAUAUUGAACCAGAAUAAAUACCAGAAUUUU